rnacentral:rRNA from 1 species
AGCUCCAAUAGCGUAUAUUAAAGUUGUUGCAGUUAAAAAGCUCGUAGUUGGAUUUGUGGCUGUCUCUGUCGGCUCGGCACUUUGUGCUGUUGUUUGACGGAGUCGCCAUCCUUGGGUGGAUCCUGUGUGGCAUUAGGUUGUCGUGCAGGGGAUGCCCAUCGUUUACUGUGAAAAAAUUAGAGUGUUCAAAGCAGGCUUACGCCGUUGAAUAUAUUAGCAUGGAAUAAUAAGAUAGGACCUUGGUACUAUUUUGUUGGUUUGCGCACCAAGGUAAUGAUUAAUAGGGACAGUUGGGGGUAUUCGUAUUCCAUUGUCAGAGGUGAAAUUCUUGGAUUUUUGGAAGACGAACUACUGCGAAAGCAUUUACCAAGGAUGUUUUCAUUAAUCAAGAACGAAAGUA